AACAGUGCGGUAGUAGAAAAGGUAUGUAUGUCAUCUCCUUGCUCAUCAUUGAUCAGUUACAUAAGUAUUAGGAAUAUCAAUUUUAAGACUUGUUUGUUUCGUUGGUUGAGAAGAUUAUUUUAAAUAUUUAACCAAAAAUCAAAACUUAUACUAAAAGAAGAAGAAAAAAAUUGCAAGUGCAGUGGCAAUGAAUAGCUUUUCAUUUGUUUUUCAGAACUUUUACCAUUAAGUUGCUAUGUUUCCAUGCGAGGAAGAAAUUAAUGAAUACUUGUAUCUUACUGUUAUAUAGGUUACAAAUGUGUUAUUUUUUACCUGCAUUGUGUUACAAAAUCUUUGUGUUUCCUUUUUUAUUGUCAUAUUUUUGUUUUCAUUGAUAUCAGCUUCCAAUAACCUUGCCCAUUGUUAAAAGAAAAACUAGUAAAGAUAACAAGACUGCACAACUUGCAUUUCAUCCACAAACUUUGACAUUUUAGGUCAAAACCUAUUGUCACUAAGAUCUUGACUUUGAUAAAUUUUGUACAAAUUUGGCACUGUCUUAAUUCCUUUGUAGUAUUUGGUAUACGACUUCACAUUUUCUUACAAAUUUGUAUCAAUUGUCAGGUUAGUAUUAGUCCAUUUUACAUUAAAACUUUUUCUGUUGAUGUAAAAAUACGGUCAAACUUUGUAUAGAAUGACUAAAUGUGUUAUUUAUUUUUUUUGUGUGUGUGAUUAUCAUUUUCUUAUUUCUAGGUAAUAAGUACCGUAAGGAUGAUGUAAAUACUAUAUACUCUAAACUUUUCUAGAAAUAUAUUCCCCAACUUCUUUGCUCUCGUUAGUGAUUACUGGAAGAGAUUGUUAAUGAAAUCAUUAAAACAAUAUCCAGUUUUACUUAUGACUUUUAUUCUUGAUCACUCGAUUUUUCUACAGGUGAAACAUGGAGCAAGGCUAUCUACGCCAUGCUAGAGAGGCAAUUAUAUGGUGAAUAUGCAUGAGGAGAUUAUUACACGGUUGCAGAAGGUCAUUGGAUUGUAAAUACUAAAUAGUAAAUACGAAAUACAUUUUCUAAAUCUGGGAUAAUUAGUGAUGGAUCUAACCAUGUAUUGGUUUGUUGACAGUGCUUGGAUGCAUAGGCGCUUCCAUCAAAGACUGGGGUGUGGGUUUAAGUGUGGUUAGGCUGGUGGGGUCCCACUAUGAGCUAGUAGCAUUGGUUCUGGGUCUCGGAUACAAAAACUUGACUACCAAG
rnacentral:lncRNA from 1 species